rnacentral:lncRNA from 1 species
GGAAGUCUGACUCAGACAAUUGUGCCGUGACCGAACAGUGAUAAAGAAUUUGGUGAGAUAAUUGUGGGAAGGGUCUGGUAGUGAAAUACGGGAGGACUUUGGUAGAAAUCUGCUGAAGUCUGAGGCUCCCGGCUGACUUUUAGUCACGACCGCGGGGCGUGUGGGGAGAUGCAGUACACGCUUCUGUCCUCCAGCCCCGCCUGCAGUAGUUCACAUCAACUCACCGUGACUAUACACCCGUGUUGGGUGCUUUAAAUCAGAUCCUGGAGAGAUGAAAAAGGAGGAAGCCGCUGCAGAAAAUGCUGUGACCAAAGAAGUAUUUCAGGGUGUUUGUUGAAGACUGGCUGCAGCUCCUGGGGCUUGGCCACAGAAUGGAAAGGAACAAUCACUGAGCAGCCCUCAGCUGUUAGUGUACAGGCUCUUAAACAGAAAACGCAGCAGUGAAUACAAAUCGUGUGACUAAGCCGAGAGGUCUCAAACGAAGCUA